AACCAUAGAAACCUGCGGAGUACCUGCGGAGGGAUCAUUACCACGAGGUUUCAAUACCUUUCCACAUUUGUUAACCACGAUUGUGUGACGCGUCUCGGCGCGGAUCACAAUUUCAUCCGCAAGGAUGAACCACGAUUCAACUGCCAGUCCGUAAAAAAGACUGGGAGUGGAGUCCAACCUGAGUUGAUCGGGUGCGCCUCAUUUACUUGAGGAGCGCCCGGUCGAUUCAAACCAAACUUG
rnacentral:misc_RNA from 1 species